rnacentral:lncRNA from 1 species
CGGGUCGUAGCCAAAGCAUACACAUACUUGACAAACUCAUUCCAUUCCUCUCACGCUCAUCUGCUCCUUGCUCCCUUGUACUCAUGCUCCCUUCACCCAUAUAGGCAGAGUAAGAACACUCUCCCACAACUCUCUUCUUACCCUUUCCUAUGUUGAUAUAUGCUUUGGAUAGCAUUCUGCAUCUCCUCCUCUUCCGGAAGCCCUCACUCCUACUCCCGGUUAGACUCCAUGAGCCCUCACUCCUACUCAUGGUUAGCUUCUGGAAGCUCUCACUCCUACUCCCAGUCGGCUUCCAUGAGCUCUCACUCCUACUCAUGGUUAGCCUCUCAUCAUC